CUCGGUCCAUAGAAUCAAGGGCGCGAUCCAUUGGAAUAGUUUGCGGUCCACAGGCACGGUCCACAGUAGAAGGAAGACUUUUUACGCUGAUCGAUGGUACAGAUCAAAUUUGAAGCUCGAUCCAACGGUUGUGGUGGUUUCCGACUUUGUUAAGGAGAGAUUUGCACGAUCCAAUAACUGAAAUUUCAUCUAGAGUACGAUCGGACGGUCAGAAAUACAUCCGACUUUGAUAAGGAUUAAAACAUCAGAUUUUGGGCUGAUCUGGAUGGUUCAAAGGCGAUCCGACGGCAAAAAAUUAAUAUAAAGGGUAUUAUACGAAUUCUAAGGGUUUUAGGACUCCUUUU
rnacentral:lncRNA from 1 species